rnacentral:lncRNA from 1 species
AGAGAGAGAAGGUGAGGAUGUCUGAGGAUGUCCUUCCUUCCUCGGAUUUACAUUCUAUAUAAAGAAAAUUAAAAUGACUCCUACUGUUUACAAAUGACUCCUACUAUUCAUGAAUGACCUUUACUGUUCAUGAUUAUGACAUAUACUAUUUACUUUACGACUUUUUUACAUGACUCUUACUAUUCAUGAACGACCUUUACUGUUCAUGAUUAUGACAUAUACUAUUUACGUUAUGACUUUUACUAUUUAUGAACGACCUUUACUGUUCAUGAUUAUGACAUAUACUAUUUACUUUAUGACUCUUACUAUUCAUGAACGACCUUUACUGUUCAUGAAUGCGACUAGUACUAUUUACUUUACAUUAUAUGUUUCCAGUAGCUGUCUUCUUCUUUUGUCUUCUUGUUGAUACCUUCAUUCUAGUUGGACUUCUGGUACAUAGUUAUCAUCUCCGUUGCACUUUGAACAUAUGUGGUCUGGAUAUUUGUGUCCUACUAGUU